AUGUCAAACAAUGGUCAAAUCAUAACCAUAUACACUACCUAUACACCUCCCAGAUGCAACACGAACACUGCUCGUACGCUUUCCAGAUUCUCGCUCGACCCCAGCCUCACGCGCUGCUACGCCGGCGGCUGCAGGCCCGCUCGAGCCGUUCACCGCCUCGCUCCGGCCAGCUGCGUCGCCCCCGCGCCGUCCUCUGCUCUUGCCGCCGCCGCUGCAACUCCUUACUGCUGCCCGCAGUCCCCCUGUUGUUGCGCCUGCUGCUCUUGCUAUCGCCUCGCGCGCAACUCCUGCUACCUCAGUCGACGCCGGCCCCGCCCAGCGCCUGGCCUUCACCACGACUGCGCGGCCGUCCCUCGCGCCCGCGACCCGGCCCCGUGGCCGGCCGGUCGCCUCCCUCCGUCGCGCCGGCGUCCGUCCGCCCCGCUCCCACGGCAGCGCGGCCGCGCACCUCCGCCCCUCGUUGUUGCGGUCCCGCGCACCCCGCUCCUCCUUCCAGCCGCUCGGGCCGCACGCCCGCAGUGCCCGUCGCCGCUCCGUCCGACCGCGUCUUCGGCCCGGCUCGGCGGCUUCCGUCCGGCUCCGCCCCGCCCCACUCCAGCCCGCCGACCGCUGCCGCGCUCGGCCUGGUCCCCGCACCGGUUCCCCGACGCUGCCCCGUGCCUGGCCGGGUCCGGCCCUAUCCGCCGGCCGGCUCCCCCGCUCCGCGUCCCGGCCGCCAGCUCGCCCGAGAACCCGGCGACCCGCCCGGCUCCGCGCGCGCGCCUGGCCUGCCGGCUUCGCCCUCACCGGCUUCCCCGCACCCCGGCAACUCGGCCGGCUCCUCCAUCCGGCUCCGCCUCCCCUGGCCGGCUACGCCACCCAGCCGCCGGCUCCCGGCCUCGCGCAGCCCGGCUUCCGCCACCCGGCCGCGGCUCUUUCCGUCAACACGGCGACCCGGCCGCCACGCCGGCUCCUCCGCCCGCAAGGCCGCAACCCGGCCAGCCCUGCCGCCUGCCGCCUACGCGCGUGUCCGGGCCGGUUUCCGCUGCUCGGCAGUUGUUGCCGGCUAAGAAAAGAGAAGGCAAGAAAAAAACCCGGAAAUGUUAA
rnacentral:rRNA from 1 species